rnacentral:tRNA from 1 species
UCGGGAUUAGCUUAGUUGGUAGAGCGUCGGACUCUGAAUCCGAAGGUCCUAGGUUCGAACCCUAGAUCCCGAG